UAUUGAGGUCCUUGGGCAAAGAAGUCGCAAUGAAGUUCUUGCUGAAAUUUAUAUGACUAUCUUCUUUUCAAGGUUGCUGGAAC